UUGUGGAUAGGUAUGCGAGGUGUACCAAGUCCGUUUCCAUAGGUUUGUGAUGAUGUUUUUUUGUCUUGUUAAAUUUGUUGACUAAGGUUGGUUUUGACAGUGAAUAUUUGGAUUAUAUGUUUGCAGUUCCUCCGGCAUACUAUGCUCACCUCGCUGCUUAUAGGGCACGUUGUUAUAUUGAGGAUGAGAUGUCGGAUAGUGGGUCUACUGGUGGAGGCCGAAAGCCGAAAGACAAGGUUGUAGAGGUUAGGCCGCUGCCCAGCAUAAAGGAUAAUGUGAAGGAAGUGAUGUUCUACGUCUGAUUAAUUAUGUUUGGUUGAUUGUGGGAAGUUGCGCAAGUAUAGUUGCACAGUUUGUGGAUGAUGGUGGAGUCUUAUUGAUUCCAUUGGUGGACUUAGUAAUCAUCUAAUUUUGGAGUUUUUGUUUUGGUGGUUGAGCUACUUGUUGUGUGAAGUUUGAAUUAUUAUAAAUCACACACUGUUUGUGGAUUACGAAAAUUUCAUAAAUGUCCUUUAUUUUUAAGACACAUUCUUAGAAAGGAGUUUUGGUAUCAUUCUUAAGCUUCUUUUAUAUCACCAAUUAAUACAAGAGAUGAUGAAAUUUUAGAGAAUAAUGUCUUUUUAUAAAGAGUUUUUAAAUGUUCAGAACACAAAUUGUAAGAUAUGCUCGGAUAUCCUCACUGCAUCUCCUUGCAACUCCAAUGAAUAAAAAAGCAAUCCUAAUCAAUUUUCUUUUUAAUUUACCAUUUUAAUAAACAUAGUAAAUACAAUUUUAUUAACUUAUUAAUUAAUUUUAUAAAUUUACAUAUUUUUAAUUCAUAAAAGUGUGAUAAUUUUAAAAACUUUUAUUAUAUAUAAUUUUUAAUCUAAUGUUUUCAAUAGUUAUAUUUUAUUAUUAUCUCACCGUUACAAUUACGUUUGAAAUUAAAUAUACAUCUCACCACUGUUUCUAUUCUCAUUGCUAUUGCUGUUUUUAACUUUACCGAAGAUAAAUGUAUCGUCCAUCCCAAUUAAACCUUAGUCCAUUUAUAGUGUUUUUUUUACUUCGUUAAAGCUGGACAAACUAUGCCAUUAAAAUUUUAAUAGCUUAAGUUUAGAUUGAAUGAGCGAUGCGUUUACUUUCGGUGAGAUUAAAAACAACAAUGGUAGUUAGAUUAGUUACUGUAGCGAUGAAAUUAGAUACUGUAGUAGUGAUAUUAGAAAUAGCGGUACGGUGUGUGUUUAGAUUCAAACGCAACUAUAAUAAUGAGUUGAGAAUAAAAAAUGACUAUUAAAGACAUUAGAUUUAUGAGUUCUCUCUCAUUUCAUCUUUUUUUCCCCUCAAAUUCUGUUAUGAAUAAAAAAUCUUCUUUAAAUAUCAAAGGAAAAGCUCUCAUUUAAUCCUCUCAUCUGAUUGUAUGAAAACGGUUUUGUUCAUUCAUCAGCUAUUCUGCUCUAUCAUUGCUUUUAUCUGUUUCAUUUUUUUCCAAUCUAAAACUAAAAAACAAACACCAUCUUUUCCAUUCAUGAUGACACAGAAGGUGAAGAAAAUUAUAAAUUUUGAUUCAUCAAUGGGUAUGGGUGGUUAACCAAAAUAGAGAAGAUAAAAAAGAAAAAGUAAUGUUGAAAAUAAAAGUCAUUUUCCUUUUUUUAAAAAUAUGGAUGAUUGAUAAUUUUAAAAAUAAUUUUCAAAAAAAUAAUUUUCAUUAUUUUCACCAAAAUGUUUUGUAGAAUUAAAAAAGACGAGAACAAGAGUUUUUUAAUUUUAAAUGAACGAGUUCACAAUGGGUUCAAAUCCAUAUAAACACAAAAAAAUAUUUAUUUUUCAAUAGUUUUUUUUUCUAAUAUUGAAUUCGGUACCCUGAUUUGAAUCCAUAUAAAUACGAAAUUUAUUUUAUUUUAUUAAAACAUGUUUUUAUUUCUAUUUAUCAAAUUUAAAAAAAUAGAAAAUGAAAAUCAUGUUUCUAUUUACCAAAUAUUUCACAAAUUAAACUGACUUUAAUUGUUUAGAAAAAAGAAAAAAAAUUCUAUUAUUUUCUAGUGAAGUAGAAAUUAGGAAAGGGAAGGGAUGCUUGCUAUGGAAAUUGUGGAUGGAAAAAAGGAAGUUGUCAAUAAAGAAAAAAAAAAAAAUUUUGGUAUUUUUUUAUGUCUGUUUUAUUGUUUAUGUUUGGGGUUCGUGGUAGUUCUUCUCAACAAGGUCAUCUUCAAUGUUUAAAUCUAUGUCUCAAAUUAAGAAUACAAUGUGCCUUACCAUUACACCCAACACUUGUUGGUAAAAAAAAAAGUGUAAAAUUUAUAUGAUAUUUUAAAAACAUAUAGAUAAUUUAAUGGUAAAAUUAUAAUUUUAUUUUUUUGAAGGAUAAUGCUAAUAUUGUAAUUAUAUUUAUUAUUGUAAUUUUACAUAAAAAUUAAACUAAUUAACUUGUAACAUCAACUAAGUUAAAUAUUUCUUUAAGUAUUAAAUUGUGUUACAAACAUGAUGUCAAUGUAAAAAAUAUAUUAAUAAAUAGGUGAAAUGAGGUUUUGGUUGAAAUGAUUAAUUUGAACCUGAUUUCUUAAGUUUAACUAACUCAACGACAUUAUUUUUUGAAAGAACUCGAUCAAGAUUGCUUUUUCCGUAGUUACUUUUCCUUAAAAAAACCCAAGGGAAAGUUUAACUGUUAAUGAUUUGGUUGACUGAGUUGGGCUUUUUGUUAUUUAUUGUCUCGUUAAAUUUUAUUUUCAUUGGAUUUUAAUGUGUAUUUUCCUUUUCUGUUUUCUUAUUUAUUUACUUGUCUCUUUGUCCAUCUCUGUUACUUUCAUCUUUUUCUCGUCUCUUUUGAUGGCCUUUGGUGCUUCAUUGCUUAUAGGUUACUAUAACGCCUGAGGUAACCGCAAAAAAGGUUAACAGAGCAAUAAUGAAGCAACUUAUUGAUGUAUACAAAGAGUCGCAUCUUGGACGUCGGUGUCCAGCUUAUGAUGGCAGGAAGAGUUUGUACACUGCUGGUCCUCUUCCCUUCGAGUCAGGAGCUUGUUAUCAAGCUACCUGAGGAAGAUCGCAGUGCUGGUUCGUCUAGGCCUGCGCUGUAAUAUUAUUGUAUCCUAUGAUGGUCUCUUGACAUUUUACAUUAUAUCCGAUGUCAUAAUUGCUUACCUGUGAUCUUUCUGGUUGCCUGUCACUGCAGGAAGGAGCGACAAUUUAAGGUUGCAAUCAAACUGGCCUCCAAGCCAGACCUUCAUUAUCUCAGGGAGUUUUUGAGCAGAAAGCAUUUUGAAUGUCCUCAAGAAGCUAUUCAAGUUCUGGAUGUUGUUCUUAGAGCUAAACCAUCUCAGAUGUAACUGCCUGUUGAUUAAUGUUAAACAUUGCUGGCUAUUAAAUUGUUGAAACCAUUUUAUAUGACAUCAAAUUAAUACAUUUGAAACAUCAUUUGGCAGAUAUACUGAGGUGGGAAGGUCUUUUUUCCAUACAUCAUUAGGUCCUAGAGGAGAACUUGGUAAUGGAAUAGAAUACUGGUCUGGAUAUUAUCAGAGUCUUCGACCCACUCAGAUGGGUUUAUCUCUUAAUAUUGGUAGGUACUUUGAUUGCUCAGUUUGUGUAGCCACUUUGUUCCUAAUGUUUCAGUAUGAAGAUUUACUGGUUUUGCUUUGCAGAUGUGUCUGCUCGAUCAUUCUAUGAGCCAAUUUUAGUUUCAGAGUUUGUUGUGAAACAUUUCCGACGAUCAAACCUGUCAAAGCCGCUGUCUGAUCAAGAUCGUAUUAAAGUAUGUAUAUAUUGAAUUCAGUGUUUAUUAAUCAAAACUUGCAGAAUAUUUUUGGAAUGCUUCUUUUGCCGUUUUUGUUAGCUGAAAAAGGCCUUGAAGGGAGUAAGAGUUAGGCUCAUCUACAUGGAUUAUGCCAAAACUUGCAAGAUUAUUGGAGUAUCUAGAGACCCUAUAAGCCAGUUGACGUGAGUUUCUUGUUAUAAUACUAUACCUGCUCAUAAAUAUUUUUAGUAAGCUACUUUUAUGUGGCCUGUGUGGUAGAAUUGUUUUUGGGUUAUUUGUAGUCUUGUAUUCACUCCUUAUCUAAGUUACAUCUUAAAAUUGAGUUGGUUUUAUUUUUAUUUUUUGCAGUUGACAGUUUUUAGUAUUUGGCUUGGUUAUGUCUUGUUCUAAAAUAUUGUUUAUGCUUAUACAUUUGUAAAAUCUUGUGCUUAUGGUACAUUUGUACCAUUCUGUCUCAUUAUGUUUCUGUUCAAUUUUUGGCUGUUUUAGAUUUCCUCUUGAUGAUAAGAGAACAAAUGUCUCUGUGGUCAAGUAUUUCCGUGAGAAAUACAAUGUUGUGCUUAAAUAUCCAUCCUUGCCUGCACUUCAAAGUGGAACUGAAGCUAGACCUGUCUACCUGCCAAUGGAGGUUUUUACUUUAUAUCAAGAUGAUCUUGUUUUUGUUUUCUUUUUGUUUGUUACUGAUUCUCCUGUAUGAUUUUGUUUUACAGCUUUAUAGUAUCGUUGAGGGUCAAAGAUACACAAAAAAAACUAAAUGAACAACAAGUUAGAUCUCUGCUGAGAGCAACUUGUCAACGUCCGAACAUUAGGGAGGGGAAUAUUACAAAGGUACUGCAGUUUUGGAUGCUUAUUAUUUUUUAAAUUGGUUGAUAAGAUGAGAAUUUUGAUUCAUUGGCAUUUCAUAUUUCUGCAGAUGGUCCAGGUCAAUAAUUUUGAGUUGGAGGAGCUUGUUACUAAAGAAUUUGGAAUGCAUGUUCGCAAAGAACUUGCAUUGAUUAAUGCACGAGUUCUAAAUCCUCCAGUGGUACUUUUCAGCCAAUAUGUUAUAUUUUCAAGGAUACUGUCAGUCUUAUAAUACGAUUAAUGUCUGUUUUGGUUGCUGCAGCUAAAGUAUCACGAUAGUGGACGUGACAAAAUCGUUAAUCCUAGUUGCGGGCAAUGGAACAUGAUCAACAAGGUGGUAUUUUUUUUUCUUCCCCUCUUAUUCUUUGAAGUGGCAUUGUUUGUAAAAUUUAAGGAAUCAGACCUGUCUCUUCAGUCUCCUCUUGUUCCAGAGUUCUUGUUCAUUUUUUCAAUUCAUUUUUAAGGUAGCUAUAAGUCUUUUGGGAAAAUUUUGAUAGGUUUUAAGGUUCAACAGUUUUUUUUUUUGCAGAAAAUGGUCAAUGGGGGUAAAGUCGAUUUCUGGUCUUGUGUGAACUUCUCCUCGGAAUAUUGGAAUAUGUCAGAAGAGUUCUGUGCGGAGCUGGUGAAUAUGUGUAACAACAAAGCAAUGGUAUGCUGUGUGGUUUUUUUUAGUGUAGGUGGAUGGUAUAUCUGUUAUUUAUUUAUCACUAGCAUGAUUUCCCAUUUUGAGAUUCUAGGUGUUUUGCCAAACUCCUUCAAUUGCAAUGCGAUCAGCUCGUGCUGACCGAAUUGAUCAGAUUCUCAUGGAUGUAUACAAAGAGUCUGCAGGCUUGAAAAAGCCACUUCAGUUGUUGAUAAUUAUCUUACCUGAUCAGACUGGCUCUUAGGGUAAGAAAUUCUGAUGUUUUGUAAAUAGGUAAUUCCUGGGGUUUCUUUGCGCGACUCAAAUCUUUUUGCUUGCAGGAAAAAUAAAGCGAAUUUGUGAGACGGAGCUAGGUAUUGUUUCACAAUGUUGUAAGCCUGUGCAAGCUGCAAAGUUUAGCAACCAAUAUUUUGAAAAUGUUGCUCUCAAGAUCAAUGCUAAGGUAUGUGUUUUGCCUCACUGGUGGUGAUUUGAUAUAGUGUUUUCUUGUCUUGUUAUCUUAAUUCAUUUGAGAAUUGUAAAUUCUGUAGGUUGGGGGGCGAAAUACUCUGCUGAACGAUGCUAUUUUAAGGAGAAUUCCGCUUGUGACUGAUGUCCCUACAAUCAUUUUUGGGGCAGAUGUCACUCAUCCGCCGCCUGGCGAAGACUAUUCUAUAGCUGCAGUAAGCAUAUUCAUUGUUCUCUACAUCCCCAUUUUGUUACUUGAUCAUAUUUAAGAGGUUAUUGGCUGGAUGCAGGUCGUUGCUUCAAUGGAUUGGCCUGAGGUAACCAAGUAUCGUGGAAUUGUCUCUGCACAGACUCGCCGGAUGGAAAUAAUCCAGGAUCUUUAUAAACAAACAAAGGAUCCACAGAAGGGUUUAGUUGAGGGUGGAAUGGUUAGGUAGGGAGAUAGAUUUAUUUCGGGCUUAAUUUUUUAGUUUCUUCUGGACGUGCUCUACUUUCUUAACAUUUCAAGUUCUCUGCAGGGAAUUGCUUGUUGCUUUCUUCAAGUCGACAAGACAAAAGCCUUCUAGAAUUAUCUUCUAUAGGUAAUGUUUGCUUUUGACCAUCCAAAUAUAUGUAUAUAUUUCUAGCAGCAGUGCUGAUAUCUGAUUUUUGAUGUGGCAGAGGUGGUGUUAGUGAAGGACAAUUCAGCCAAGUUUUGCUUUAUGAAAUGGAUGCGAUUCGGAAGGUAUUGAAAUCACUGUAUAAUGUCUAUUAUAGUUGGUUCACUGUAUAAUGGAUGCUUCUGACCCCUGCAGUUUUCUUCCUUCCAGGCUUGUUCCUCGCUACAGGAAGGAUAUAUGCCUCGGGUUACAUUUGUUGUGGUUCAAAAGAGGCAUCAUACUCGCUUAUUCCCUACUGAUCGCAACAAAACUGAUAGGAGUGGCAACAUAUUACCAGGUGAUUCUAAUCUUAUAAUAGGGAUUUGAUCGUAUUCUCUUGAUCUUCAUUUUGUUAGCAUAUUUUAAUGUAGCCAAUAAAUUUUAGGUACUGUUGUGGAUACUAGCAUCUGUCAUCCAACUGAGUUUGAUUUUUAUCUCAAUAGUCAUGCUGGAAUCCAGGUUAAAUGAGGCUUCCCUUGAAGUGUGAUGGUUUUUAUGUUAAAUUUGUCCGAUCUGAUACUGAUGUUGUUGUGUAGGGGACAAGCAAGGCCACACGUUACCACGGUUUGUUUGAUGAAAAUGGCUUCAGUGCUGACAUCUUGCAAGUGCUCACAAACAGUUUAUGUUACACGUAUGUGUUUACUCCUUUCUCUAAAAUCCUGAAAUGGGGUGAAUAAAUAAUGCUUUAGAUCAGCACUAGUAAUUAUAUAGUAAUAAUUUUACUUUGUGGAUAGGUAUGCGAGGUGUACCAAGUCCGUUUCCAUAGGUUUGUGAUGAUGUUUUUUUGUCUUGUUAAAUUUGUUAACUUAAGGUUGGUUUUGACGGUGAAUAUUUGAAUUAUAUGUUUGCAGUGCCUCCGGCAUACUAUGCUCACCUCGCUGCUUAUAGGGCACGCUAUUAUAUUGAGGAUGAGAUGUCGGAUAGUGGGUCUACUGGUGGAGGCCGAAAGCCGAAAGACAAGGUUGUAGAGUUUAGGGCGCUCCCCAGCAUAAAGGAUAAUGUGAAGGAAGUAAUGUUCUAUGUCUGAUAAAUUAUGUUUGGUUGGUGGAAAGUUGCGCAAGUAUAGUUGCACAGUUUGUGGAUGAUGGUGGAGUCUUGUUGAUUCCAUUGGUGGACUUUGUAAUUAUUUAAUUUUGGAGUUUCUGUUUUGGUGGUUGAGCGAAUUGUCGUCUGAAGUUUGGAUUACUAUAAUGCACACACUAUUUGUGGAUUACGAAAAUUUCA
rnacentral:lncRNA from 1 species